CCAAGAGAUGAUAACAGAUAUGUGGCUUGCCAACGUAAGCAGGACCUAGACCAGGACUUCUGUGAUUGACUUCUGACCCAUACAAGUCUGGAAGAACCUAGAAAUAGCUGUCAGCCAAGUCUCCUUGGCACAGAGGACAGUAUAAAAACAAGAGCAAUCAGGGCUGAAGCAGAGGACACUGAAAACGUCCCCAAGGCCUAGAAGUGCUUGCCUAGCUUGAAGAUCCAUUGGAUGGCUUGUCUCUCCUUUUCUCCAGAAGCAGCAUGUUGCCACCAGUUACCUGCAUGUGACCCGUGUGGUUUGUCUCAGCCUGAAGAUGGUCAAUUCUUAGAUCUUGAUCAGCCCAUUUCAGCCGUGGUUGAUGAUGAUAAGGUUGCUUUUGCUGGGUGAGAAAUAGGAAAAUGCACUAUCUGCUCUGAGGUGCUUUCAUGAUGAGCAGUGUAUUUGUUAACACCCAAAGCACCAUAUCAUCUGAUCAUCUUCUUGUGGCUUAUGUUGCGAGAAGAUCAUACUCAGCCAACCUUUGACAUGAUGUGAAAUUCCCAAAGAAAUGAGCCUCGGGGGCCUUGGAGGGCAAAUAUGCCAUCUAAUAA